UAUGACUCUCUUAAGGUAGCCAAA
rnacentral:ncRNA from 3 species